ensembl:lncRNA
UGUAGUGUCAUGUUAAAGGGGGAGAUAACAUGGCUGUUAUAAAAUGUUGUAGUGUCAUGUUAACGGGGAGAUAACAUGGCUGCUAUAGAAUGUUGUAGUGUCAUGUUAAUGGGGGAGAUAAUAUGUCUGUUAUAGAGUGUUGUAGUGUCAUGUUAAUAGGGAGAUAACAUUAACAUGGCUGUUAUAGAGUGUUGUAGUGUCAUGUUAACGGGGAGAUAAUAUGGCUGUUAUAGAAUGUUGUAGUGUCAUGUUAAUGGGGGAGAUAACAUGUCUGUUAUAGAAUGUGGUAGUGUCAUGUUAAUGGGGGAGAUAACAUGGCUGUUAUAGAAUGUUGUAGUGUCAUGUUAAAGGGGGAGAUAACAUGGCUGUUAUAAAAUGUUGUAGUGUCAUGUUAAUGGGGGAGAUAAUAUGGCUGUUAUAGUAUGUUGUAGUGUCAUGUUAAUGGGGGAGAUAAUAUGUCUGUUAUAGAAUGUUGUAGUGUCAUGUUAACGGGGAGAUAACAUGGCUGUUAUAGAAUGUUGUAGUGUCAUGUUAAUGGGGAGAUAAUAUGUCUGUUAUAGAAUGUUGUAGUGUCAUGUUAACGGGGAGAUAACAUGGCUGUUAUAGAAUGUUGUAGUGUCAUGUUAACGGGGAGAUAACAUGGCUGUUAUAGAAUGUUGUAGUGUCAUGUUAAUGGGGGAGAUAAUAUGUAUGUUAAAGAAUGUUGUAGUGUCAUGUUAACGGGGGAGAUAACAUGGCUGUUAUAGAAUGUUGUAGUGUCAUGUUAAAAUGCAUCAUGAUGCAGAAACCUUAAUGUCCCAGCUUCCUAAAUAUAUUGCUCCGGAUAGGGCUCCUGUCUGCAGUGAGAGAAGAACUCCUCAGACCAGACAAAAAUAUAAUUCUGUCACAUGAACAAUCCAUAGCCUAAGAGCCUAAUAGUGGACCCAGUCCUCCUCUCCUCCUCUGCAACAGUGUGGUCUGACCCAGUCCUCCUCCUGUCCUCUAAAACAGUGUGAUCUGACCUAGUCCUCCUCUCCUCCUCUGCAACAGUGUGAGCUGACCCAGUCCUCCUCCCUUCCUCUGCAACAGUGUGGUCUGGCUGGCCCAGUCCUCCUCCCUUCCUCUGCAACAGUGUGAGCUGACCCAGUCCUCCUCUCCUCCUCUGCAACAGUGUGAGCUGGCUGGCCCAGUCCUCCUCCCUUCCUCUACAACAGUGUGAGCUGGCUGGCCCAGUCCUCCUCCCGUCCUUUGCAACAGUGUGGUCUGAUCCAUUCCUACUCUGCAACAGUGUGGGCUGGCUGGCCCAGUCCUCCUCCCUUCCUCUACAACAGUGUGGGCUGGCUGGCCCAGUCCUCCUCCCUUCCUCUACAACAGUGUGGGCUGACUGGCCCAGUCCUCCUCCCUUCCUCUCCAACAGUGUGGGCUGGCUGGCCCAGUCCUCCUCCCAUCCUCUACAACAGUGUGGGCUGGCUGGCCCAGUCCUCCCCCCCCUCCUCUGCAACAGUGUGGGCUCUGGCUGGCCCAGUCCUCCCCCUCCUCUGCAACAGUGUGGGCUGGCUGGCCCAGUCCCCCUCCCCCUCUGCAACAGUGUGGGCUGGCUGGCCCAGUCCUCCUCUACAACAGUGUGGGCUGGCUGGCCCAGUCCUCCCCCCUCCUCUGCAACAGUGUGGGCAGGCUGGCCCAGUCCUCCUCUGCAACAGUGUGGGCUGGCUGGCCCAGUCCUCCCCCCCCCUCUGCAACAGUGUGGGCAGGCUGGCCCAGUCCUCCUCUGCAACAGUGUGGGCUGGCUGGCCCAGUCCUCCCCCUCCUCUGCAACAGUGUGGGCUGGCUGGCCCAGUUCUCCCC